UAGCGAUAUUGGGCUGGCUUAGUGGCGAACGGGUGCGUAACACGUGACCAACCUUCCCUAAAGUGGGGAAUAGCUCGCCGAAAGGCGAAUUAAUACCGCAUGUACCUCAAAGCAAUUUGAGGCAAAGCAGCAAUGCGCUUUUGGAUGGGGUCGCGGCCUAUCAGCUAGUUGGUGGGGUAACGGCUCACCAAGGCAACGACGGGCAGCUGGUCUGAGAGGACGACCAGCCACACUGGAACUGAGACACGGUCCAGACACCUACGGGUGGCAGCAGUCGAGAAUUUUUCUCAAUGGGGGAAACCCUGAAGGAGCGACGCCGCGUGGAGGAUGAAGGCUUUCGGGUUGUAAACUCCUGUCAUUUGGGAACAAAGUCCGCCUUUGGCGGAUGUGAUAGUACCAGAAGAGGAAGAGACGGCUAACUCUGUGCCAGCAGCCGCGGUAAUACAGAGGUCUCAAGCGUUGUUCGGAUUCAUUGGGCGUAAAGGGCGCGUAGGCUGCGGGGUAAGUCGGGUGUGAAAUCUUAGAGCUCAACUCUGAAAUUGCACUUGAUACUGCUCUGCUAGAGGACUGGAGAGGAGAUUGGAAUUCACGGUGGUAGCAAAGGGCGAA
rnacentral:rRNA from 1 species